rnacentral:rRNA from 1 species
AUGAAGGGCCUAUUAGUAAUUUUACACACACACACACAAUCUACCCCCACCGCACCUCUUCUUGCUGCAAAGUUCGCAACUGAAUGCAACAUCACAGUUAGACACCAUAUGCUCGUGUUUAAGCGCUGGAAGGAUUACAAGGACCCAGAUGGACAUGUCCGAGAUGGGAUCUUCAGGAAAUUUGUAGGAAAAGUUGGUAACAAGUUUCAGAUGGACGUUGAUGCUGUGCCAGUUAGGAAGGCUUGUACUGAAAUGCUGAAACGUGCGACUCGCCAACAACGAUACAGGCUCAAGAAAGAGUAUUUUGACCCUCACCCACUCCAUUUGGUGACGAGAACGUCUCAUGUCCCCUCGAUGACUGGUGAGCAGUGGAAUGAGCUAGUGGAAAGCUGGAAGGAUCCCAAAAAGAUGGGAGACAAAUACAAAGAUAAAGAACCCACUGCAUUGGAUUUGUUCAAGGAGUGCCACUACAGCAAGAAAAAGAAAAGCUACACCGGUGUUGUCCAAGCUGCAAUUACCGAGAUGGAAAACAAGGCCUCUCAGCCUACAGAAGAUGGACAUGAAUCGAACUCCGCGACCGAAGCUGUAGCUGAAGUGCUUGCUAAGCACACUAAGAAGCCAAGGUUUCUUCAGCAUAUGGGGAUCCAGCAUGUCCAUGCGAGAUCUAGUGAUAGCAACUAUCAAGCAGAGUUGGCAAAGAGGGGCAAUGUCGAGCUUCGGGCACUUGUUGACACCUUGACCAAGAAGUUGAAGGAGUCCGAAGAAGCAAGGACUAGGCAAGAUGAGGAGCACAGGAAGAGAGACGAGGAGAACAGGAAGAAGCAAGCUGAGAUGGACACAAAACUGGACUUUUUGCUAAGUCAGUUGCAAGCAAGAUCAGCUCAAGGAUGUAAGCUCUUAAGCUUGGAAGCCCAUUUUGUGUAG